GGACAGAGAACAAGGCAAAACGGAGACCCUUUGGACACUGACGCAGCCCGCAGAUAAGCAGAUGUGGGGCAAUGAACUUGACGUGGGGAAUCUGAAUCUCAGACCUCUCACAAGCAGUGUGACAUCUUGGACAAGUCUCUCUGUGCCUCAGUUUCCUCAUCUGUUAAAUGGGAGGAACAAUGAAAGCAAGCCCUCCCUCACAGGGUGGCUAUGAGGAAAGCCUGAGCAGCCUGGACUUCCCCGAGCCACUAAAGAGUCCUUAGGUUUUCAGUCCUUGGCUUCUUUUCCUGAGCGCAGAUCAGAAACUUAAGCUCUCCCCAGCGUCUGCUUCGGCCGCCAUUGGAACAGAUUGUUCUCAGCCGCCCGUUCUGCUAGAAGUCCUCACGUGCCUAGGGUAGACGCUUCCCUGAUUCUUCGAUGGGUCUGAGGGCUGUCGGUUACCCUUAACCCCGUUUAGCCCGUCUGCUGAGACGGUCUUACUGGGCGUGGCCACUGCCCAGCUUCUUGGAGCCGCAGAGAAUGACUUUUUAAAAUCACAGAACAAAAAGGAUGAAGAAAGCUGGUGCCCAAGAUAAGAACGGCAAGACAACAGAGGGGUGUCCUGGAGGCAUUCACGGUCUCCAGGCCCAGAUGGGCGCCGUCCAAUGGUGCUGAAAGAACUGAUCAAUGGAAUCGACUAAGCCACCGUCAGGGAUAUUUGAAAGAUCAUGGAGAAUAGAAGAGGUACCAUCAGGCUGCAGAGGGGCAAAGGUUGUCCCGAUUUUCCAAAAAAGAAACACAAGAGUCUGCAAACUUGAGCACUUGAACCUACACUACCAGAUGACUGGCCUAAGUCAGGCCCCUCCACUAUAGCCUCAUGCCUAAUUUGUCAGAGAAGACCAAUACAUCCUGGCGAUCAUCUGGAGCAGCAGGAUGGCCUCCUUUUUGUCCUCUUCCUUUAUUUUCUCCAGCCCCAGGAUUUCCAAGAGGGUUAAGACUCCUCCAACCUCAAGGAACUCCACAAGAUCCCCUCCAGACUCACCAGCUCACAGCAGAGAGAAAGAUGCCGAUAGACCUCAGCAGCUUAUUCAAGCAGGCCCCAGUCAUGUAGC